UGGGGAAUUUUGGACAAUGGGCGCAAGCCUGAUCCAGCCAUGCCGCGUGAAGGAAUAAGGCCCUAUGGGUUGUAAACUUCUUUUAGACGGGACAAAACCCCUUUACGUGUAAAGGGUUGAUGGUACUGUCAGAAUAAGCAUCGGCUAACUUCGUGCCAGCAGCCGCGGUAAUACGAAGGAUGCAAGCGUUAUCCGGCAUUAUUGGGUUUAAAGGGUGCGUAGGCGGACUAAUAAGUCAGUGGUGAAAGCCUGCAGCUUAACUGCAGAAUUGCCAUUGAUACUGUUAGUCUUGAGUACAGUUGAGGUAGGCGGAAUGUGUCAUGUAGCGGUGAAAUGCUUAGAUAUGACACAGAACACCGAUUGCGAAGGCAGCUUGCUAAGCUGUAACUGACGCUGAGGCACGAAAGCGUGGGGAGCAAACA
rnacentral:rRNA from 1 species